rnacentral:rRNA from 1 species
UACGUAGGGGGCGAGCGUUGUCCGGAAUCAUUGGGCGUAAAGCGCGUGUAGGCGGCCCGGUAAGUCCGCUGUGAAAGUCCAGGGCUCAACCCUGGGAUGCCGGUGGAUACUGUCGGGCUCGAGUCCGGAAGAGGCGAGUGGAAUUCCUGGUGUAGCGGUGAAAUGCGCGGAUAUCAGGAGGAACACCAAUGGCGAAGGCAGCUCGCUGGGACGUGACUGACGCUGAGACGCGAAAGCGUGGGGAGCAAACAGG